CAUUAUUGUAUUAUAACGUCUUUCAGAACAGAAAUAUGGAAAAAUUGAAGGUGUACGAAACUCUCAGACAACAACUGGAUAAUGAUGAGAUUACUCAAAAGGGCUUUGAUGCCAGAGUAAAGGGUGUAUUGCUUGAACGUGGUGCAGAAGGAACAUCAGAGACCAGCAAAACAUGGAAAAUUU